GCAACGCGAAGAACCUUACCAGGUCUUGACAUCCUCUGACAACCCUAGAGAUAGGGCGUUCCCCUUCGGGGGACAGAGUGACAGGUGGUGCAUGGUUGUCGUCAGCUCGUGUCGUGAGAUGUUGGGUUAAGUCCCGCAACGAGCGCAACCCUUGAUCUUAGUUGCCAGCAUUAAGUUGGGCACUCUAAGGUGACUGCCGGUGACAAACCGGAGGAAGGUGGGGAUGACGUCAAAUCAUCAUGCCCCUUAUGACCUGGGCUACACACGUGCUACAAUGGAUGGUACAAAGGGCUGCAAAACCGCGAGGUCGAGCAAAUCCCAUAAAGCCAUUCUCAGUUCGGAUUGUAGGCUGCAACUCGCCUACAUGAAGCUGGAAUCGCUAGUAAUCGCGGAUCAGCAUGCCGCGGUGAAUACGUUCCCGGGCCUUGUACACACCGCCCGUCACACCACGAGAGUUUGUAACACCCGAAGUCGGUGAGGUAACCUUUUGGAGCCAGCCGCCGAAGGUGGGA
rnacentral:rRNA from 1 species